GUCCGGUGUUUAGUAAGGUCAGCACUGAAUGUGAGGUAGAAUAGGUCUGUUAAUUAUGUAAUAUUUUUUCACAUAGGAUGCUCAGACAGCAGAGCAAGGGGCAGAGCAGAACGAUGGAGAGGUGGCUGGAGCUUCAGGGCUCCAGGUGAGGUGUUAGUUCUCAGAUAUGAAAUAUACUGUGAAGUUAUCUCUGUAUGACUGUAUCUGGUUGUAUACACAAGAUGUAUGAUAUGGUUAUGGUUGGGGGGAGGGGUUAUUAAGCCAAUGUGGUUUCCCCCCCCCUUCUCACAUUCACAUUUCACUGUGCUGCCGGGGGGUCAAGGUCCCCACCAAGGUCCCCACCAAAACUUAGACCGAACCUACGCCCUUGAACUGUAGGUUCAAAGGGCAAGUCAGGAUCAGCAGAUAUAAAAUGGCAGAACAACAAAGCUUUUGUAUAGACAGGAGGUCUCACUUUGACAUAAACUCUAAGUCUAUUUCUGUGUAUGGAACAAUUUUAGAUUAAACAUUUUAGAUCUUCAGUUAAGAGCAGCGACAUUUUGUAAUAAUAAUUAAGUGAAAAUAAAAAGUAGAUUGCAGUUAAAUACUUGCAGAAGUAAAAUUUUUAAAAACGAAGUAGAUGUACCUCGUUCUUAUCCACACACUGGAGUUAAUUCUGUCUGCUUUGCUCAAAUAAGUUUUAAGUUUAUGUUAACAAUCCAGUGUGCUUUACAUUACAUCAAAGUGUUGACAGAAAGAAAAUAGAGCAAAAAAAGAUUUGCAUUAAAGAAACAAGUGUUUCAAACUGCUGCUAAGAAAUGUUUUCAGUUCUGAUCUAAAGGGCCCAACAGUUUCUGCUCGUGCUCAGGUUUCAGGAAGGGUUUUUCCAGAGAAAUGCUGCCUCACCUGGUUUGGUUCUGGUUCUGCCACGUUUUUCCAGACUCUUCUUUUAACCUGUUUGGGUAUCAUCACUUAAAAGUCGACAAAACGUUUUUCGUUUCAAUUUUUGUUAUUCCUGUACAGAUUAAUUUACAGGAUAAUGGUUGUAAUUUAUGUUUGGCAGGCAGUGACGAACAUGCUGGUGAACUUUAAUAAAUACCUCUAACCGGAGAAAAGCAGCCAUGUUUUAAAACACCUGGCAGACUUGGAGGAAGUUAAUUUUAGAAUAAUUUUAAUUACAAAAAAUAUUCUUGUGAUGUAAUUUGCCAAAAUAUAUAGGUUUUGGAAUAUAGUUUUAAAUAUUGUGGGUAUUUUUCGUGAAACUCAGCUGCUUUUCAGCUCUUGAGGUUUGAUUCCUGCUGCUUGUUUAUUAAUGUGAAUUUAGGCACAAAAAAUAGUGCACCUACUGCAAUGAUGAGUAUAAAGUUUUAUUUUAUAAACUGAGGUGUUUUAAUAGUUUAAUGUUUUCUUUAAUUUGUUUUAUUUUGUUUUUGUUGGUAAAAUUAAAACAUGAUGUUAGAAAAGAGUUGAUUUUCUUGCAGGUUUUCGUUUUAGAGGAAGCUCAGGUAACCUUCAUGUUUGUAUCAAAAUGUAAUUUUCUGCUGCUUUUUUCUAACUGAUAAACAUCACAUUUGGGUUUGUUUGAGAUCUUUUAGUCUUUGCAUUUAAUUAUUGACAACGGUGGAAGUUAAAGAACAGUGAAAAACUCUAUUUGAAUAAAUAUAGAUUAUCUUCACAGGUGGAUCAGUCUGCGUUUUUUCUGAGUCUGAAAAUGACUUUAGGUUUGAAUAAAAAGAUUCAGAAGCAAAUCAGCUCAGUUGUCUUUCAUUUAUAGUUUUUAUGGUUUUAGAUGACUAAACAUGAGAAGCAGCUUCCAUUUUACAUACCUGGAAACUUCAAACAGGAUUAAACAGUUUGAAAUCUGGAUUUUAAAGCAAAAUUUGUAUAUUUUUGGUAUAAAUAUGUUAUUAUGGCUAAAAAACAGUAAAAUUAUAAACCUUUAAUUCUCUGUUUCUACUUUUAAUUUUGAAAUUUCACCCAAAGACCACAGGAAGUGAUGCAAACUGAACGGUUUUACAGAAGUUGCAGCAGAGACACUUGGAGAGUAAAAACCAGAAGCUCCCAGUGAAGCAACUGAUAUGGUGAGCGUCAGGACCGGCAGGUCCGGUGGAAGGAGGAGUCCCUGAAUAUUUAGAACAGAAGUCGGGUCAAACCUGCAGGAUGUCUGCAGACCUGAACAAACACAGAGCUGCGGUUACCUGGCCUCAGGAAAAUGCAGGAUGGUGUCAGACGUGACCUGCUUUUGCUCCAAGAUAACCGUCUCCUCAACUCAGGGAAAUAUGGACCAUGUGCGUCUGUGAAGAGACUUAAAAAAUCCUGCAUUUAAUGAAGAUGCUGGACUGAUGUGAACCACCAUCUCGAUUUGUCUCUUAUGAGGUUAAAUACAGAUAACCUCAGUUUAUCUGUCAUGAAAUCAACCUGCUGGACCUGAGAUGAACAAAGACGGGUUUCACAUGCAGCCCAAAUGCAAAUGCACCUCCUCACUGCUGGGGAACAACAGGUUUUUAAUGGACGUUAGCCAUUUGAAGUGUGAGCUGCCAGGUAAAGAAAAUGAGGAGUACUGAUCAACCCUCAGAAGACAAGAGCUCUAUUACUUUGUCACGAAGUCAGUGCUGCUUCUUCAUUUUGGUUCUGGGAGUUGUGUUUGUUUCCUGCUGCACAAACAUGAGGAACAUGGCACCUGAUUGGAACCUUAAAAGGCUGAUGCAAAAUGACUCAACACACACCGCUGCUGAACUUCCUGAAACCACGAGCGUCACCACAACGCAGGAGCCACCGACUCAACG